CACAGUCCCUCAUGGUGGAGAGGGUUGCAUUUGAGCAGAUAGUGAUGGGGGUGCACAGCUGCGAGAGUCCCCUCCAUCUCUCACUGCAGCAGAACUAAUGUCUACACCCCCCGCCCCCAUCUGGUUCUACCUCUUUUGCUCUCACUCUCUUCUUUCCGCCUCUCCAAGGGGGUGGGGGUGCCGUAUGGAAAGAAAAAUGGACGGUGUAUCGGACAAAAGGGAAAUGUUACCUUCUCUCUUUGGGAUAUUGGCAUCUCUGUGUGGGACUUGAAGUCCAAAACAACCCUGGCCAGAAAGAAAGGCGAUUGAGGAAAACAUCCAUGAAGGAAUGAGGAGGAGGAGGAAGAUGCAAGUGAAAGUGGUCAGGUUUGAAGUGAAGUGGAGGAGACAGUCCAGCCAGCGCCACCCGCGUGCGUCUCAAACCCCCCAAGCUCCGCAUCAGUAUGCAGCGACUGUUGCUAAGGUGAUAAAACCGCUGGAUGGAUGGGGGGGGGGGGGGGGGUAACUGCAGAAACAUCAAUAGUGCAAUGGAAAGCAGGUGAGGACAAAGACACAGAGAGUUGGGCGUGAGACUGGAGGGCAGAAAAGCAUGGUUACACUUUCCUGGCCUGUGUACAUUAACUGGCCACCAUUUUGUGAGUGCUGCCGUUUGAUGUUAGCAGUAAAAAGCAUCUCGCCCUACAAAUUUAAUGACAGUAAGUUGGGUUGUUUUAACAUUCAUUAAAAAGGGUAAAAGUCCCUGAAAAGGAGCUACAGAAAAAGCAAAUCUUGCUACUGUCAUUGUCAGAUUUUAUUCUGAGAAAGUGCCAUAGAAAUAAAAAUGGAUUUUAUUUGAUUGUACUGGUUAACUGGAAUUUGUGCAUAUAUUUUCUUUGACAUUUUUUUAAAUUCUGCUGCUGUAACAAAUUUCCUUUUCAAAAUGUCAACUUUACAAAUAGAUCAAUAUUAGUGUAUACUGAGUGACAGUAGCUACUCAGUAUAAAGGAAAACCAUUUUUGAUCCAACUCUUAUAUUUCAUCUGCGUAAGAAUAUCUGUAUUUUCUCACUAUGUGCUGUGUCAGGUAGGUUUUCCUAAAUGUGUAUUUUGUCUUGCAGAGCUUUCCACUAUGUGAUUUGUACCCUAAAUAAACAGAUGGCAAAAGAGAA